UAUGAUGAGUCCCAUUUAAUAGACCAAUUAUACUAAAAUCAGCUCAAGUUUACAACUAUGAGUUAUUUAACCACACAUUUUGCAAAACCACACAUUUUGCAAGCCCUAAAAUACUUGCAUAUAUGGGGUCAAAUAGGUACUCAGAAUUGCAAUAAAAAAUGAUUUUCUAAUGUGUGUAAAUUUGCACUCGUUAAGAUUCAUUUAAUGCAGCCCGAUAACUACAAUUUUCAAUUCAUUAAAUGUAAUUUGCACCCAUUUAGCA
rnacentral:misc_RNA from 1 species